ACUCUUCUAGCCUGGUCUGAGAGCCCAGCAGGCUCGAGACACUGCAACCUGGCCUGGCCGUGGGCAGGCAGGGAGUGGAGGUUGCGGCAUCGUCUGGGCAGAGGAGCUGGGGCGUUUGCCAGAAGUCUCCAACGGGCCAUCUGGUCCCAGAGAGCAGAGCACACAGCCUCAAGAAAUACGAGAAAGGCGGCAGGGGCAGACGGUGAGGCCCCAGGACAGAGACUGGGGUUUUUUGUUGCUGCUUCACCGCCCCCGCUG
rnacentral:lncRNA from 1 species